UCGCAUUAGGGAUAGUAGCGGAAAUCCUUUUUAUGCGCUACGGCACAUAAAAAGAUUGUAACGUAUAGCCCGAUUCGCC
rnacentral:sRNA from 1 species